AGGCAACACUCCUUUUGCGCCAAUUACUGUUUUUCAGGGGUAUCAUUUGCGCCAAUUUUUUUUUCUUCAAAUGUAUCAAUUGCGCCAGUUUUCGGAACUCAUUUGCGCCAAUUUACCUGAACACAUAUUGAUCGUACAUAUUAAAGAUUAAUAUAUAUUUAGUAUCAUUUGUGUCUGAGGGGAAGUCUUGCACAUACACAUGAGACAGACCCACAAAAGUUAGAGCGUCAAAUACUACGAACAGCAUGCAAAAGAAAAGCUACAGAAAAUAUAUCCGAAAGACCAACUAAGAUCAUAUGUUCGGAGCUAUUCCAUCAUGAAGAGGAACAUCUACAGAAAAUGACUUGAAGUUCAUAAGACAGUCUAUGUACAGAGAGAGAAGAUAACUGUUCCCUGCCCAACCAAAAAGUUCAGUAGAAUUUCAAAAAAUUUAAGUGAGGUAUAGUGAUCACAAAUAAAGAAGAAGAGUUUGUUUUAGUAAAUGAUAUUGACAGUGGCAUUGUUAUUCUCGGUUGUGAAGCUAACUUGAAAUUUCUUUGUAUGCGGGGCAGAAGAUGUUUUUUUCUGUGUUUAAGGAAUAUUUUUCUUUAAAUUGGCGCAAUCGUAUAUUUUAUUUUUGGCGCAAUUGAUACCAUGUAAUUUUUAAACAGGUGGCGCAAACGUAGCAUUAGAGAAAAAAAGUUGUGGCGCAAAAGGACGCAUUUUUGGCGCAAACGGAUCUCUCCCCAU
rnacentral:lncRNA from 1 species